CCUCACCCAAAGAGACACUGAAAAAAGAUCUGGAAGCAAAAACUGAACUGAGAGGAGAAGGGUUGAACCCAAGCUGGAAGGUCCUUCUAGGGAUAAAAAUGGUGUUCCCCAGACCCAUGAUUGAUUCUCGAAGGCAACUGCGUGUUCACUCAAAGCAGGUCAGCAUACAUCUGGUGCUUUAAGGAAGAGGAAGAAAAUAAUGAAAUAACCCUGAAAUUAGAACUCAUCAGAGUACAUUCUGUAGCUCAUGCAAUUUUGGAUUGGGACCCAAAGAUUUACAAUAGGAGAAGAGGCAAGCGGAGGAUAAAAGGAAGAAUGUGAACCAACUCUCAGAUAUGCUUUUACUUGGUUUUCAAUGUUUCAGAACAGCACAAUGAAGACGAUUGUUAUGCCAGCUAACAAAAAUGACAGGACAAAGAAGCAUACCUUGAAAUUAAAAUGAAAAUUCAGAACAGAUGUCAGGAAAUAUUUUUCAUGUUGAAUGUGCAGAUAUCCAACCAGAGCAACCUGACCACAACACUGGACCAUGUGGGUGGUCUCCUCCAGCUAUACAUAUGACACUACUGAAUGGGAAGGGUCUAUGAAAUCACUAACUGAUUUGCCCACUGCAUAACAUAGCUAGUCUUUCCCCGGGACCUGACAAACUGUGGUGGGACAUCUUUAAGGCUGUGAUUCUCAAAUUCAGAAGAGGAAAGUUUGAAAAUGGCCCAGCUAUUUUCAGACAUGCGAGCAGCCAUAUCUUGAAGGUCUGCUCUUAUAAAGAGGGGCCAGUGCAUACUGUGUGCAUAUAUGUUUUAAACACACCAGUAAAUUUAAUGGAUUUAUAUAGUCUUCUUUACAGAGUGUUUCAUUUAUUUUUUGUACAGGUCAUUUGCGGGAUUAAAGAUGUAAAUAGAGAGGUGUCUGACUCCAGUUUUCAGCACUCCAAUCUGUGCAAGCAUCCUUCAAA